AAAAUAAUUGGCACGUGCCGAAUGCAAGAAUGGGGAAGCAUCAAGUGUGGUCGUUGUAUUGCCAAAGUCCGGCAAGCGUCGAGCGGUCGGUAGACAUUCAACGAGUGAUAAAGUUGAUCCCAAGUCUAUGAAAAACGGUUACAUAAUUAAUGCGAUUAACGCAGCAUGAGAAAAUAAUAACGCGUAGUAAACUAGUCGACGAUGCGGUCGCUCGCGAGUAGAAGUUUCGGACCAGACUACGGCGAAUAGGUUAUAAAGUCUGCGUAUUAUAUUCCACCGUAAAUAUUUAGACGCAGAUGAUUACUCGCAGCAGAUAAGAGAUAAUCAGCGGCAUCACUCGGUCAGCCGAUAAAUGUACAGCGUCGCGGUAGGACUAGCUAAGAUAUUGAGAAUUCCGCAACGAUCCACAUUGUCAGGAGUGACAGAUUAUGUAAGCAGAUCUAACAUGGCGCGAAGCACAGCUACGUCUUCUAUAUUUAAAGGCUCUAAAGACCGUUUCAACGGUAUAACCGUCGAUUCAACACUCGAGCCGUGCGAUUCUGGCGCGUUUUCAAAAUGCCUGAAAGCUUCCCUGGACCAGUGGAUAACGGAAAACCGAAGGGCGAUAUGGUUUCGCGUGGGGCUCGAGCAGUCAGAUUGGAUUCCGGACCUCACUAAAAAUGGGUUCAAAUUUCAUCACGCGAGGGAUGACUGGGUCACCCUUUAUCGCUGGUUGCCCACAGACCAAACCUGCAAUAUACCGCCCUAUGCCCACACUCUACUGGGAGUCGGAGCCAUCGUCUAUAAUGAAGAUACGGACGAGAUUUUGGUCGUCAAAGAGAAAUACAGUGUUGUCACCCCAAUGUGGAAGUUUCCGGGUGGUUACGUCGAACCAGGUGAGGAUAUAACUGUCGCUGCCGAGCGAGAAGUCAUGGAGGAAACUGGAAUAGAAGCCGAAUUCAAACACAUUCUUUCAUUCCGUCACGCACAUCGCUUCGCUUACGGAUGUUCAGAUAUCUACAUGGUCGCCUGUCUCACUCCUCGCAGUUAUGAAAUCACCAAAUGCAAUCGUGAGAUAACAGAUUGUGUCUGGAUGAAGCUUGACGAGUAUGUGCAGCAUCCAGAGGUUCACGAAAACAAUCGUUUGGUAGCAAAAAAAUUCAUCGAGUUCAAGAACCAUAAGAGAACUAUAACCGUCCAAACUCUGAUUCAUCCUGCCAUAAAGACACCUUUCAGAGUCUUCACAAUAUCGAAGUUAGAGGAUUAACGAAGGCUCUCGGACCAGUCGAGAAACACGAUACUGGAAGCUAAGACGAACCUGCAUACCCGCCGCAGAAGAGUUCGUUGUCGUUGUAAUUGACGGGAUUUGGAAAUCCGAACCGCCACAUGCUGUUGCGGGAUGGCGGGUCCAUCAUGCGGCCGUGACCUUUGACUCCGGAAUCAUCGAGCGCCUGGAAAAUACGACGUGGAAACAAACAUGUCAAUCGGAUUAAGAAGAGAAUUGAGAUCGAGAGAUGCGGGAUUUAGCUGAUAAGCUUACCUGCGCGAUGAAGAGGAUCACGAUGAGAGUUCGGCGUACUCGGAUUGGGCAUAAAUUACAGUCAAGCUUGACACGCAUCAUCAUCGACGACAUGAUUUUCAGAUCCUCGAUUUUGUAGGAGUCUUUACAACGGGCGAACGUUCCACUCAAAGAACUUGAAAAUAUACUAAAUUUAGACAUACGUCAUCAGUACCGUUAGAAUAUUCGUCGCUGACCAUCUACUUGAUUGCGCCAUAUCAGUUCACGAUGAUUCCUUCAACCCAUCAGGAAGCAAGUCUUGCACGUGUUAUUUAUCGCUGUACACGGCACUUAUGACAUCCGGUGGAUAUUACCGUGAAUUUAUGACUUUAAUCCUCGGUAACUUGGCCCGAAAUUACUAGCCGCGUUGAGUAGCACCAGUUUAGUAUAAUAAUAUAUGCUAAUCUGAGGCUCUCUGUGCCCCCAACGAACGAACUUUAAUAAGCACUUUUGGAGAGUAAAAUAAAUUUCACGAUUUGGGUGGAGCUUUAUUUCUCAGGUGUUUCAAUUAUUCUUCUGCAGUGCCGAUUUAUAAAGAUAGAGGAAGAGAGAGAGAGAGAGAAUGAGAAGGAAAGAGGUAUCUCAGUUCCAAUAUUCAACAAAGUAUCAUUCCAACCUGUCCAAUCGAAGAUUACCGGUUUUUCGAGAAAAGAAUAUACACAUCCGCGUAUAGGUAUAUGCAUACACAUACAAUCCGCACCACUUUUCCAUGGAGAGAUGCGUUGAAUAUCCGGCAUAACGAUCUCGGUUAAUUCAUUACCGAUGAUUCAUUUGAAUAACGAUUUGUUAAACAUAGGUGAAUUUUGAUCAAACACGGGAAAAAAGAAGAGGGAGAAAAAAUAUGUUGAGCCUUUAUAGGAUUCCAGUAAUUCCGCGAAUUCUCCGCGAUUUCAUUUGAAAUUUAGUUUUGGAGGAUUUUAAAUCACGUUUAACUAUAAUACACACGCGGCGUAACUUGGAGUAACUUUCGUUUGUAGUAACAUUUAUCUAAUCGAGUGUUGGACCGUGAAAUCGUAAGUAUACGUAAGUACACAUAUACAUAUAGGAUAUUCUGGUAUUUCCGAUGAUCUAUGCCUUUGACAAGGUUUAGUGGCACUCGACACGUCUGCGGCGGUGUAUAUGCAUCGUAGAUGUAU